rnacentral:rRNA from 1 species
AUGGAACGAGCGAGCAACGGCAGCGCACAAGACGAUGAGCUCAGCCUUGAGCUUACCCUGGCCACCGAGGCGCCGGCGUCUGGCGCACCAGACGGCUUCUUCCUCUGCGUCCACUGCGACCGCAAGUUCCGCAGCUCGCAGGCGCUCGGCGGCCACCAGAACGCGCACAAGCAAGAGCGUGCCGUCGCCAAGCGCCGGCGAGAAGCUGCUGCGGCAGCCACCCGCACACAGGAAUCAAGGUCAAGGAAGGCGGGGAGGCAUGCUGCUACUGCUACUGGGAUGUCCGAGCCUGCAGAGGGCAAGCAGGGCGGGAGCUCGUCCAAGUGUGGCGACGACGACGAGGUGGACUUGUCUCUCCGGCUAUAA